rnacentral:rRNA from 1 species
UGGGGAAUAUUGCGCAAUGGGGGCAACCCUGACGCAGCCAUGCCGCGUGGAUGAAGAAGGCCUUCGGGUUGUAAAGUUCUUUCGGUAGCGAGGAAGGCAUUUAGUUUAAUAGACUAGGUGAUUGACGUUAACUACAGAAGAAGCACCGGCUAACUCCGUGCCAGCAGCCGCGGUAAUACGGAGGGUGCGAGCGUUAAUCGGAAUAACUGGGCGUAAAGGGCACGCAGGCGGUGACUUAAGUGAGGUGUGAAAGCCCCGGGCUUAACCUGGGAAUUGCAUUUCAUACUGGGUCGCUAGAGUACUUUAGGGAGGGGUAGAAUUCCACGUGUAGCGGUGAAAUGCGUAGAGAUGUGGAGGAAUACCGAAGGCGAAGGCAGCCCCUUGGGAAUGUACUGACGCUCAUGUGCGAAAGCGUGGGGAGCAAACAGGAUUAGAUACCCUGGUAGUCCACGCUGUAAACGAUGUCGAUUUGGGGGUUGAGCUUUAAGCUUGGCGCCCGUAGCUNACGUGAUAAAUCGACCGCCUGGGGAGUACGGCCGCAAAGGUUA